AGUGAACGCUGGCGGUAGGCCUAACACAUGCAAGUCGAACGGCAGCACAGGAGAGCUUGCUCUCUGGGUGGCGAGUGGCGGACGGGUGAGGAAUACAUCGGAAUCUACUCUGUCGUGGGGGAUAACGUAGGGAAACUUACGCUAAUACCGCAUACGACCUACGGGUGAAAGCAGGGGACCUUCGGGCCUUGCGCGAUUGAAUGAGCCGAUGUCGGAUUAGCUAGUUGGCGGGGGAAAGGCCCACCAAGGCGACGAUCCGUAGCUGGUCUGAGAGGAUAAUCAGCCACACUAGAACGGAGACGAGGGCCAGACUCCUACGGGGGGCAGCAGUGGGGAAUAUUGAGCAAUGGGCGCAAGCCUGAUCCAGCCAUACCGCGUGAGUGAAGAAGGCCUUCGGGUUGUAAAGCCCUUUUGUUGGGAAAGAAAUCCAGCUGGCUAAUACCCGGUUGGGAUGACGGUACCCAAAGAAUAAGCACCGGCUAACUUCGUGCCAGCCGCCGCCGUAA
rnacentral:rRNA from 1 species